GACGAACGCUGGCGGCGUGCUUAACACAUGCAAGUCGAACGGUAAGGCCCUGCUUUUGUUGGGUGCUCGGGUGGCGAACGGAUGGGUAACACGAGAGUAACGUACCCUUCACUUUGGGAUAACUUAACGACACUGGGGCUAAUACAGGACAGGAGCUCCUGCUGCUUGGUGGGGGUUGGAAUGGUGGGGCGGUUGGGGAUGGACUCGCGGCUCUUCAGCUUGUUGGUGGGGUAGUGGCGGUCCAAGGCUUUGAAGGGUAGCCGGCCUGAGAGGGUGAUCGGCCACAGUGGGACUGAGAUACGGCCCAGGCUGCGGCGGGAGGCAGCAGUGGGGAGUAUGGCAGAAUGGGCGGAAGCGUGAGGCAGCAACGCCGCGUGCGGGAUGAAGGCCUUUGGGUUGGAAACCGCGUCCGCCUGUGACGAAGCGUGAGUGACGGGAAGGGGUAAAGAAGAACCGGCUAACUACGGU
rnacentral:rRNA from 1 species